CCCUUAGAUGUUCUGGGCCGCACGCGCGCUACAAUGAUGAAUUCAACGAGUUUAUAACCUUGGUUGAAAAGCCUGGGUAAUCUUUUGAACUUUCGUCGUGAUGGGGCUAGACCCUUGCAAUUAUUGGUCUCCAACGAGGAAUUCCUAGUAAACGCAAGUCAUCAGCUUGCAUUGAUUACGUCCCUGCCCUUUGUACACACCGCCCGUCGCACCUACCGAUUGAAUGGUCCGGUGAAAUCUUCGGAUUGAGACUUUGAUUUCUUCACGGAAAACGCUGUUUUAAAAAGUUGAUUAAACCUUACCAUUUAGAGGAAGGUGAAGUCGUGACA
rnacentral:rRNA from 1 species